rnacentral:rRNA from 1 species
CCUACGGGUGGCAGCAGUGAGGAAUAUUGGUCAAUGGGCGCGAGCCUGAACCAGCCAAGUCGCGUGAGGGAAGACGGUCCUAUGGAUUGUAAACCUCUUUUGUCGGGGAGCAAAAGACGCCACGCGUGGCGUUCCGAGAGUACCCGAAGAAACAGCAUCGGCUAACUCCGUACCAGCAGCCGCGGUAAUACGGAGGAUGCGAGCGUUAUCCGGAUUUAUUGGGUUUAAAGGGUGCGCAGGCGGAAGAUCAAGUCAGCGGGAAAAUUGAGAGGGUCAACCUCUGCGAGCCGUUGAAAUUGGUUUUCUUGAGAGAGUGAGAAGGAUGCGGAAUGCGGGGGGGAGCGGUGAAAUGCAGAGAGAGCACGCAGAACUCCGAUGGCGAAGGCAGCAUACCGGCGCUCAACUGACGCUCAUGCACGAAAGUGUGGGUAUCGAACAGGAGUAGAUACCCCGGUAGUC